CGGCUGCAGUGAGGAAUAUUGCGCAAUGGGGGAAACCCUGACGCAGCGACGCCGCGUGGAUGAUGAAGGCUUUCGGGUCGUAAAAUCCUGUCAGAUGGGAAGAAAUGUAUAUUGGCUAAUACCCUUUAUAUUUGACGGUACCAUCAAAGGAAGCACCGGCUAACUCCGUGCCAGCAGCCGCGGUAAUACGGAGGGUGCAAGCGUUGUUCGGAAUUACUGGGCGUAAAGCGCGCGUAGGCGGUUUGUUAAGUCAGAUGUGAAAGUCCACGGCUCAACCAUGGAAGUGCAUUUGAUACUGGCAGACUUGAGUACUGGAGGGGGUGGUGGAAUUCCCGGUGUAGAGGUGAAAUUCGUAGAUAUCGGGAGGAAUACCGGUGGCGAAGGCGACCACCUGGCCAGAUACUGACGCUGAGGUGCGAAAGCGUGGGGAGCAAACAGGAUUAGAUACCCGUGUAGUC
rnacentral:rRNA from 1 species